rnacentral:rRNA from 1 species
AUGCAUGCAUGCAUGGCGACACUUCAGACCAGAACUCCAUUUUUGCGCCACUUUUUCUCCUCGAAUCUUGAGCUGACACCAGUACUAUAUUCCAAGCUACUUGGUGUACCUACAAUUGUUAAAAUACGACCGACCGAGCACGCGAUGUGCUCGUGUAAGUAUAUUUGGAAGUUUUGCCGAGCAAGACCGCCAACGGUCGAGUUCCGUUGGAAAGCUAGCAGUACACAUGUAUACACUUUCUUGUGGGAAUGUGGGAUUAUCCAUAACCCCUUUCCUAUACUAUAUCGAGAUAUUUACAUAUCACCGAUUAAUUUACUAAUGUGCGAGCAGCAUUGUACUCCCUCCGUUUCGAAUUACUUGUCGCAGGUAUGGAUGUAUCUAGAUGUAUUUUAA